ensembl:lncRNA
GCAGGUGUCAUUAGUUGUCUCUGAUUGAGAAUCAUACUUAGGUAGCCUGGGUUGCACUGUUUGUUGGUGGGUGAUUGUCUAUGUUAGUGGCUUGUGUCAGCACAGGUCUCAUUUGUAGCUUCACGGUCGUCAUUGGUUUAUUGUUUUUGUUACUCUUUUGUAUAGUGUUGCAGUGUUCUCUUUAUUAAAAUUCACUAUGAACACAUACCACGCCGCAUAUUGGUCCUCUGAUCCUUCUCACCUCUCCUCUUCAGAUGAAGAGGAGGAAGACCGUGACAGUAUGGAAUCAAUCUUUAAGAUGUUUUUAACAUAAA